ensembl:lncRNA
GAUGAAUGUCUCUGAGAACUGCCAUGGCCUACCUGUAAACAGCUUUCUUUACAUUGACCAGUUUCAAGAGUGCCUUUCCAGGUCUCCAGUCUUUCCAAUUCUCCUCCAAAUGUGUUGGAGAAGACCCCUCUGGUCGAGGGGAGGUACAACAAGCCCCAUCAAACAAAAUGGUCUCCACAUCUUCUUCUCUUAAAGUCUUGACCUAGAUGCGCAGAAUUCAUGUUAAAAUUCCAGCUAAAAUUAUAGCUGUAGGAGCCAACAAAAGUACAUAUAUAUACAUCAGCCACCGAAACUACACAAGAUUGAUG